rnacentral:lncRNA from 1 species
AGCUUAUUGAGUGAAGUUGAAAUACAAACAGCUCUGAAAUUGUUGUGCAAUGAGCAGCAUAAAGAAGAAAUUCAAGUCCAUGUGUAAUGUUAGCUUCUUCAGAAGCUAAUUAACUCCUUGUAAAGUUGACAAUACUGUAUUUUUUGGAGUUACAGGGAAAGAAGAUUCUGUAUGUGAAUCCAAAGGAUGCAGUUUCAGCUUGAGCAGUGCCUUUCUGAUUUGCUUUUGUUCUAUCCUUAAGGACCUGUUUCAUAACCCACUGAAAUCUGCAGGAGUUGGAAUCUUUUCAUCAACUUGAAUAAACUGUGAAGCAAGUAGUCAUCCUCUGACUUAUAGC